rnacentral:tRNA from 1 species
GCCUUCGUGGUGUAGUGGUCAGCGCGCUUGGCGCGUGUUCGAGAGGUCCGGGGUUCGAAUCCCGGGAAGGCA